rnacentral:rRNA from 1 species
AUUGAACGCUGGCGGCAGGCCUAACACAUGCAAGUCGAGCGGAUGAAGGGAGCUUGCGCCUGGAUUCAGCGGCGGACGGGUGAGUAAUGCCUAGGAAUCUGCCUGGUAGUGGGGGAUAACGUCCGGAAACGGGCGCUAAUAUCGCAUACGUCCUGAGGGAGAAAGUGGGGGAUCUUCGGACCUCACGCUAUCAGAUGAGCCUAGGUCGGAUUAGCUAGUUGGUGGGGUAACGGCCUACCAAGGCGACGAUCCGUAACUGGUCUGAGAGGAUGAUCAGUCACACUGGAACUGAGACACGGUCCAGACUCCUACGGGAGGCAGCAGUGGGGAAUAUUCGGCAAUGGGCGAAAGCCUGAUCCAGCCAUGCCGCGUGUGUGAAGAAGGUCUUCGGAUUGUAAAGCUCUUUAAGUUGGGAGGAAGGGCAGUGAGUUAAUCCCUUGCUGUUUUGACGUUACCAACAGAAUAAGCCCCGGCUAACUUCGUG